rnacentral:rRNA from 1 species
GACGUAGGGCGCGAGCGUUGUCCGGAUUGAUUGGGCGUAAAGAGCUCGUAGGCGGCUCGUUGCGUCGGCUGUGAAAACCCGCAGCUCAACUGUGGGCCUGCAGCUGAUACGGGCGGGCUGGAGUUCGGUAGGGGAGACUGGAAUUCCUGGUGUAGCGGUGAAAUGCGCAGAUAUCAGGAGGAACACCGGCGGCGAAGGCGGGUCUCUGGGCCGAUACUGACGCUGAGGAGCGAAAGCGUGGGGAGCGAACAGG